GACGAACGCUGGCGGCGUGCUUAACACAUGCAAGUCGAGCGGAAAGGCCCUUUCGGGGGUACUCGAGCGGCGAACGGGUGAGUAACACGUGAGUAAUCUGCCCCUGGCUUUGGGAUAGCCACCGGGAACGGUGGCUAAUACCGGAUAUGACGCGCUCCGGCAUCGGGGUGUGUGGAAAGUUUUUUCGGCCAGGGAUGUGCUCGCGGCCUAUCAGCUUGUUGGUGGGGUAAUGGCCUACCAAGGCUUCGACGGGUAGCCGGCCUGAGAGGGUGACCGGCCACACUGGGACUGAGACACGGCCCAGACUCCUACGGGAGGCAGCAGUGGGGAAUAUUGGACAAUGGGCGGAAGCCUGAUCCAGCAACGCCGCGUGAGGGAUGUCGGCCUUCGGGUUGUAAACCUCUUUCAGUACCGACGAAGCGCCGAUGAUGGUGGUGACGGUAGGUACAGAAGAAGCACCGGCCAACUACGUGCCAGCCGCCGCCGUAA
rnacentral:rRNA from 1 species